AGUAACGGCGAGUGAAGCGGCAACAGCUCAAAUUUGAAAUCUGGCUCUCGGGCCCGAGUUGUAAUUUGUAGAGGAUACUUUUGAUGCGGUGCCUUCCGAGUUCCCUGGAACGGGACGCCAUAGAGGGUGAGAGCCCCGUCUGGUUGGAUGCCAAAUCUCUGUAAAGUUCCUUCGACGAGUCGAGUAGUUUGGGAAUGCUGCUCUAAAUGGGAGGUAUAUGUCUUCUAAAGCUAAAUACCGGCCAGAGACCGAUAGCGCACAAGUAGAGUGAUCGAAAGAUGAAAAGCACUUUGAAAAGAGAGUUAAAAAGUACGUGAAAUUGUUGAAAGGGAAGCGUUUAUGACCAGACUUGGGCUUGGUUAAUCAUCUGGGGUUCUCCCCAGUGCACUUUUCCAGUCCAGGCCAGCAUCAGUUUUCCCCGGGGGAUAAAGACUUCGGGAAUGUGGCUCUCUUCGGGGAGUGUUAUAGCCCGUUGUGUAAUACCCUGGGGGGGACUGAGGUUCGCGCAUCUGCAAGGAUGCUGGCGUAAUGGUCAUCAACGACCCGUCUUGAAACACGGACCAAGGAGUCGUCUUCGUAUGCGAGUGUUCGGGUGUCAAACCCCUACGCGUAAUGAAAGUGAACGCAGGUGAGAGCUUCGGCGCAUCAUCGACCGAUCCUGAUGUUCUCGGAUGGAUUUGAGUAAGAGCAUACGGGGCCGGACCCGAAAGAAGGUGAACUAUGCCUGUAUAGGGUGAAGCCAGAGGAAACUCUGGUGGAGGCUCGCAGCGGUUCUGACGUGCAAAUCGAUCGUCAAAUA
rnacentral:rRNA from 1 species